rnacentral:sRNA from 1 species
UGAUUAUCUGCAGGUGUCGCUCGUCGUC